rnacentral:rRNA from 1 species
UACGGGGGGGGCAAGCGUUGUUCGGAAUUACUGGGCGUAAAGGGCUCGUAGGCGGCCAACUAAGUCAGACGUGAAAUCCCUCAGCUUAACUGGGGAACUGCGUCUGAUACUGGAUGGCUUGAGAUUGGGAGAGGGAUGCGGAAUUCCAGGUGUAGCGGUGAAAUGCGCAGAUAUCAGGAGGAACACCAGCGGCGAAGGCGGCGCUCUGGGCCGGAACUGACGCUGAGGAGCGAAAGCGUGGGUAGCAAACAGG